CAACUUUCAGCAACGGAUCUCUUGGCUCUCGCAUCGAUGAAGAACGCAGCGAAAUGCGAUAAGUAAUGUGAAUUGCAGAAUUCAGUGAAUCAUCGAAUCUUUGAACGCACCUUGCACUCCUUGGUAUUCCGAGGAGUAUGCCUGUUUGAGUGUCAUUA
rnacentral:rRNA from 13 species